rnacentral:lncRNA from 1 species
CUACACUAAAGACUUCAGGGAAUUUUCUUUCUUGAUGAAAUAGCUGGGAAGACAUGGAAUUCUCUCUCUCUCUCCCUCCCUCUCUGUCUCUCUGUCUCUCUAUCUCUCUGUCUCUCUGUCUCUGUCUCUGUCUCUCUCUCUCUCUCUCUCUGUCUCUCUCUGUGUCUCUGUGUCUCUCUCUCCGCCUCUCUCUCUCUCUCUCUCUCUCUCUCUCUCUUUCUCUCUCUCUCUCUCUGUGUCUCUCUCCCCUCUGUGUCUCUCUUCCCCUCUGUGUCUCUCUGUCCCUGUUUGUCUCUCUCUCUCUCUCUCUCUCUCUCUCUCUCUCUCUCUCUCUCUCUCUCUCUCUCUCUCUCUCUCUGUGUGUGUGUGUGUGUGUGUGUGUCUUUCUCUCUGUCUCUCCCUCCCUCCCUCUCUAUCUCUCUCUGCCUCUCUCUCUCUGUAUCUCUCUCCCCUCUGUGUCUCUCUGUCUCUGUUUAUGUCUCUCUCUCUGCCUCUCUCUCUCUCUCUCUCUCUCUCUCUCUCUCUCUCUCUCUCUCUCUCUGCCUCUGUGUGUGUGUGUCUCCCUCCCUCUCUGUCUCUCUCUGUCUCUGUGUCUCUGUGUCUCUACCUCUCUCUCUCUCUGCCUCUCUCUCUGCCUCUCUCUCUGCCUCUCUCUCUCUCUCUCUCUCUCUCUCUCUCUCCCCACCUGUGUCUCUCUGUGUCUCUCUGUCCAUUUAUUUUCUCUCUCUCUUUCUCUGUCUCUCCUCUCUUUCCUCUCUGUUUCCUCUCUUUCUUUCCUCUCUCUGUCUCUGUCUGUCUGUUUCUCUCUCUGUCUCUCUCUGUCCUAUCUCUCUCUCCUCUUUCUCUAUCUCCUCUAUUUCUCUUCUCUCUCUGUCUUUCAGGUUCUGUCUGUCUGUCUGUCUGUCUCUGUCUUUGUCCCUAUCUCUCUCUUCUCCCCACUCUUUCUCUUCCCUCUGUCUCUUUCUCUCUCUUGAGUUGGAGUAUCUUAUGCCCCAAUGGGAAACCUUAUUCAUUGUGUGUUUUCUGGUAUAUUCUAACCUAUAUACUUUUUUUUCCUGAUUUCUGUUUCUAUUAGUUC